GUGAGGGGGAACCAGGAAUAAGAGGCAUUUCCUUGAAGGGAGAAGAAGGAAUCAUGGGCUUUCCUGGACUGAGGGGUUACCCUGGCUUGAGUGGUGAAAAAGGAUCACCAGGACAGAAGGGAAGCCGAGGCCUGGAUGGCUAUCAAGGGCCUGAUGGACCCCGGGGACCCAAGGGAGAAGCCGGAGACCCAGGGCCCCCUGGACUACCUGCCUACUCCCCUCACCCUUCCCUAGCAAAAGGUGCCAGAGGUGACCCGGGAUUCCCAGGGGCCCAAGGGGAGCCAGGAAGCCAGGGUGAGCCAGGAGACCCGGGCCUCCCAGGUCCCCCUGGCCUCUCCAUCGGAGAUGGAGAUCAGAGGAGAGGCCUGCCGGGUGAGAUGGGACCCAAGGGCUUCAUCGGAGACCCCGGCAUCCCUGCGCUCUACGGGGGCCCACCUGGACCUGAUGGAAAGCGAGGGCCUCCAGGACCCCCCGGGCUCCCUGGACCACCUGGACCUGAUGGCUUCCUGUUUGGGCUGAAAGGAGCAAAAGGAAGAGCAGGCUUCCCUGGGCUUCCCGGCUCCCCUGGAGCCCGCGGACCAAAGGGGUGGAAAGGUGACGCUGGGGAAUGCAGAUGUACAGAAGGCGACGAAGCUAUCAAAGGUCUUCCGGGACUGCCAGGACCCAAGGGCUUCGCAGGCAUCAACGGGGAGCCGGGGAGGAAAGGGGACAGAGGAGACCCCGGCCAACACGGCCUCCCUGGGUUCCCAGGGCUCAAGGGAGUGCCUGGCAACAUUGGUGCUCCCGGACCCAAAGGAGCAAAAGGAGAUUCCAGAACAAUCACAACCAAAGGUGAGCGGGGACAGCCCGGCGUCCCAGGUGUGCCCGGGAUGAAAGGUGACGAUGGCAGCCCAGGCCGCGAUGGGCUCGAUGGAUUCCCCGGCCUCCCAGGCCCUCCCGGUGAUGGCAUCAAGGGCCCUCCAGGGGACCCAGGCUAUCCAGGAAUACCUGGAACGAAGGGUACUCCAGGAGAAAUGGGCCCCCCAGGACUGGGCCUUCCCGGCCUCAAAGGCCAACGUGGUUUCCCUGGAGACGCCGGCUUACCUGGACCACCAGGCUUCCUGGGCCCUCCUGGCCCCGCAGGGACCCCAGGACAAAUAGAUUGUGACACAGAUGUGAAAAGGGCCGUUGGAGGUGACAGACAGGAGGCCAUCCAGCCAGGUUGCAUAGGAGGGCCCAAGGGAUUGCCAGGCCUGCCAGGACCCCCAGGCCCCACAGGUGCCAAAGGCCUCCGAGGAAUCCCAGGCUUCGCAGGAGCUGAUGGAGGACCAGGGCCCAGGGGCUUGCCAGGAGACGCAGGUCGUGAAGGGUUCCCAGGACCCCCAGGGUUCAUAGGACCCCGAGGAUCCAAAGGUGCAGUGGGCCUCCCUGGCCCAGAUGGAUCCCCAGGUCCCAUCGGCCUGCCAGGGCCAGAUGGGCCCCCUGGGGAAAGGGGCCUCCCUGGAGAAGUCCUGGGAGCUCAGCCCGGGCCACGGGGAGAUGCUGGUGUGCCUGGACAGCCUGGGCUUAAAGGCCUUCCCGGAGACAGAGGCCCCCCUGGAUUCAGAGGAAGCCAAGGGAUGCCUGGGAUGCCAGGGCUGAAGGGCCAGCCAGGCCUCCCAGGACCUUCCGGCCAGCCAGGCCUGUAUGGGCCUCCAGGACUGCAUGGAUUCCCAGGAGCUCCUGGCCAAGAGGGGCCCUUGGGGCUGCCAGGAAUCCCAGGCCGUGAAGGUCUGCCUGGUGAUAGAGGGGACCCUGGGGACACAGGCGCUCCUGGCCCUGUGGGCAUGAAAGGUCUCUCUGGUGACAGAGGAGAUGCUGGCUUCACAGGGGAGCAAGGCCAUCCAGGAAGCCCUGGAUUUAAAGGAAUUGAUGGAAUGCCUGGGACCCCCGGGCUAAAAGGAGAUAGAGGCUCACCUGGGAUGGAUGGUUUCCAAGGCAUGCCUGGACUCAAAGGGAGACCCGGGUUUCCAGGGAGCAAAGGCGAGGCUGGAUUUUUCGGAAUACCCGGUCUGAAGGGUCUGGCUGGUGAGCCAGGUUUUAAAGCCGAGGGGACCCUGGGCCCCCAGGACCACCUCCUGUCAUCCUGCCAGGAAUGAAAGACAUUAAAGG
rnacentral:lncRNA from 1 species